AAGUGAUGUGACAGAUGCCGUGAAUAUUUUGAGGUUACCUCGUAAACGAACACUAUAUCUACACUGGAAUUCGAAGAUUGUGUUUCACCGGGAGUAAGAAUUAUUAUCUUCGGUGCUUGGAACAUGGCUGUGUACCCAGCUCCACAAAAAGUAUCGUGUGCUGUCUUUACUCGUGCGAAGGAAAGUCAGGAGUGUAUCUACCAUGUUCCGGGCACCGCGUACCUUAGGACGAGUAAGGGGUAACGCAGUACUGCCAGAUGAAAGGAGCGGAAUCCAUUAUACGAAACGCGACGGGGCCCUGGAGCGAUCGGACAAUGACAUCUUCCAGAACAAUUCAUUGUUCCUCGAGGUAAAACCUCGUUCGCUUACGAAUUCUACGCUUCGUUGCCGCGGGCCGUCUCAUUGAAUACACGCGAGAACAAUGUGGACUGCACAAUACCAGUGUCAGCCGGAAAUGACGCCAGGAACGACGCGCAGUGUGGCGGCAGCUGCAUCAUAUCGUAUCGGCAGUCGACAUUGCGUGAUCUGCUGGAGUCUGUUAUCAUUUUGUAAUGGAGCAGAGGGAGGAGGUUAUGAAACGGAUUUGAUCUUUACGUGUGGAUACGUACUUGGGAUUGGUAACUGGAGAGCGAACGAGCUUAGAACGUUUGAGGAAGCUAUUUGAGACGCGAUGAAGAUGGAGACGUUACGUCCGCCCUCUCCCACACGUUUCUUAUCGGAUUUACAAGCAGGCACUAGUGAUGAGGGGGUCGGGGGGGGGGCUCGGUCGCUGCUGAGGAAAUACGAGGGCGGCUACAGGGGUUUGCUGGAAGUAAAGAGGGAAAGUCUUGCUCGGGAUGAGAGUAGCCUGGAACGAGGCCGAGAUAUACGUUGGGGUUGAAAUGCGGAUGGACGCAAGCUGGAGCUCAGAUUCUCUUUUUUCCUCCCUUUUAUUCUUCCUCUCUUUUCCUUUUUACACCUGCCACGUUCCUCUCGAACAACCACGAACUCCUCCGGUAGAGUUUUCAGCCUACGGGUUCUUUCCCUUGUACCCCAGAAAAUAUAGGGUCAAAUUUCGUAAUUCAUAAAAAAAAAUAUUUCAUCCUCCAAAAAAAAUCAUUUACCCACAUUCCUUCCAUUCAGGGCAGCCGAGCGACGUAUCUGAAUUCACAUAUCGAGGUUAUACGACGUAUUAAAGGAUUAGAGAUCUUUUUUCGCAUUCUUUCAGCAUCCCUCCAAUGACAUCCCUUAUAAGACCUAGAGCCUCCAGGUGCAUUCUACCAUUAGCUUAACGACUGACUUCGUCCUGGCGUGUAAUAUUAAUGAACACAAUUUUCCAAAAGGGCUGAAAAAUAUUACUAGGAAAUUUUGGAAAAAGUUACUGGGGAUCGCUCAUUGCUUCCGUAUGCAUAAUCAUUUUGGUCGGCAAAAGUAUUAAUUUACCUGCUUGGAAAGACGUGAGGCAGACUAAGCAAUGUACGUACGUGAGUAGGUUAGGUUGGUAUACGACAGCCCUACAAAUCUCCGGUGAUCCGACGUGGCGUCAAGGGAUGGGAUUAAGCGACUGGCUCGUGGAAGGAUGACGAGUCCCGUGGGACGAAGAACGAAGGGCCGAGAAUGUUAACGGAUCGUUGUAAAUUUAGCGUUACGUAACGCGAUAUACCUUUUGGGAUUAAAGGAUCCAACUCCAGAAAUCCGUAUGCUUGUUAAAGUAUCAAGCACAUUGCCGUAAUAAGAUGACAAAAAAUUAACGGGAAAUUAAAAAAAAUUUACAAGAUCCUCGUGGAAUUUCGAACUUUAGGAAAUAUCGUAAGACUUAUGUAUAUAUAUAUAAUUUUAUACAUUUUGUGUGAUAUGGGUUAACCCAGCUAUGCUUGACAACAGGUAUCGUCUGGAGGAUUUUUGACAAAUCACAAUAUACAUUUUUCUCACAUGAAUAUUCUCAUGAAUAUUCCCGAUACGAGUAUAUUAAAAAAAAGACAGUAAUAUUCUUUGGUUAAAAAAUCCGAAUAAAAAGUCCUAGUGGAUCAUCGCGAUAUCACGAACCAUUCGAAAGUUACGACCAUUCAAAUACGCGUUUCUUUCUAGAGAAGGGUUCUACCCAGGAUUUCGAUUUUCCAUAUCUCUGUCCUUCUCUUACUCACGUGAGUGCCGAUAGGUCCCUCUCUCUCGCACUCACGCUCGGUAUAGGAAAUUAAAAAAUCUUAACGAAUCGAAGGUUCUUUCUUUACCGUCUCGUGCCGAUGAAUAAUUUCUUUUGUGGAAUUUUUCAAAUUUCCAGAACAGCAUUUUCUUUACUAUCUUUUCUCAAUUUCUCUCUCUCUCUCUCUCUCUCUCUCUCUCUCUCUCUCUCUCUCUCUCUCUCUCGGCUCUCUGCUCUCGUUACAAAGACUUUAUUCGAAAUGACUUUAUGAUAUACAUAUAUCCCAGCAGGGAAUCUCUUCCCCAUUAUUUCUACCUUGCAUCUUCGCCAUUCGUUACCCCAGGAGUUCGUUCACAAGCUACUAUCAGGAAUUGAAACGCGGCACAGAUAUAUAUUUUUUAUAUUUUUCUCUCUACAACGCUAUUCUAUCUCCAUUCGAUAUCUCAGAAUAUUCCCGCGAUAAAACCUUCUGGAAUGUCUGCGUCAUUCGCCGCGCGUAUAGAUUCGUAUAAAAUUUCGCGCAUUUAUGUAUUCAUCUGGUACACAGCAUGUAAGCUAUCCCUGCACGUAUAUAUACCCUACGUAGUUCACGUUUCUCUCGCACGGACCUUCUCACUCACUCGACCCAAUAGACGUCUGCUGUCUGCGUAACGGAACUACAUAUUUAUUCAUGAAUAUCACUGUUACGAAAGUUCCGCCAAUACCCUUGUCUUCCUUGUCCUGCGAUUACAAGGAAAUUCCAAGGGACGUUCAAAAUUGCAGUAUCCCUUUUACCUUUUUCUCUCUACUACACAUGAACAGAAAAAUACGGACGGAUACACGAUCGAUAUUUGUACGAUAAAUAUUAUCGUGAUCCUUACUAUUUUUUUCAUACCCAAAAAAUAUCUAUAUAUUUUUCAACGACCGUUCACUUAACCUCAAUGUCAUAGGUCGCGAACAUAUAUUUUUAUUUAAAUCUGCCAUUCUUGUCAGUUCCCAUAAUUCCAUCUCCUUCAUUUUUAUUCCUAUUCGGAGGUCUAAGAACCUCAGAGAUUUCUCAUGAGAAUUCAACAGUAUUUCGUCGAAGUGACGAUAAUCGCCGUCAAUGCGAUUCAAGGUACAGCGAGCAAUUUCUUGCCCGAGGAAAAUUCGAAUAUCAGACGAAUCCCCGUGGCAUUCACUGAACUCGUCGAAGCGUCUCGUCUGUAGCUCGCGAGGACGGUAGAGAUCGAGAGAAGGAGGAAGAAGGUUAAACGAGAUUGAUAAGCGAAGAAAGAAAAAGAGCAAAUAUUUGUCAUGCCGAAGAAGGGCCGCGGAAGGGGGGUGGUGGAUGUUCGUUAAAGUGAAGAAAAAAAAUAUAUUUCUCGUCUUACGCGAGGGCCGAUAUAAAAACGUGAGAGAGUAACAUUCAAAAUAGUAUCAAUAACCCCCCUGUCCGCCCCAGCCGUGUAUACCCUAUAAAUAUGAAUAUUCCAUAAACUUUCCUCGCUCGCCAACUCCCCAGGAACGAGUAAAAAUCACGUAGAAGUUUACGACGUGAUCACAAUGGGUCAAAGCCCCCUCGCACCACCCCCUACCAACGGCCCCAAUCGUGACGACAUUUCCAAUAAAAACGACUCGCGGUAGAUGCGAUAGCGAGGGUGUCAGACGGAGAGAAGGAGAUAAGGCGUGUGACAGGAUCGUGCGUAGGAGAGAGAGAGAGGGAAGGCGGGAUUGUCGAUCAGAGCGAUACGAGGAGGAUAAAGCGCGUGAAAGGAGUCAAAAAUACAGGUGAUCGAUGGAGACGGGUGAUGGGGAAAGUAAGCGCGAGAGAGAAGGACAGAACGAGCGAGAGAAACUGCAUCGCUCAGCCGGGCAAGACGAAAACGUACAGCCAUCGACCCGAGAGGAGUCGAGUUUGAGCUCGUUAUCCCCCGUUCACUCCAACCCCGUAACUACCCGCCACCAAUUCAUCCCCUCCCCCUCCCCCUCGUCCUUCUCUCAUCCCAUCGUCACGACAGCACCUUCGCUCGUACCCCACCUUGCAGCAUCCCAGAUAUGUCCUACGUUUGUAUCGGGGUAUAUGGAGACUGUAAAAUUUACGUGUCACGAGUACACGAGUACUCGUAUAAAUAUACGAGUACCUGUAUGUAUAUAUAUAUAUAUAGGAGUACACUGUACCGGUACUUGACUGAUAAAACAGAAAAUUGUAAUACGUAAUCCUGAGGUAAUAUCGAAUGUAUCGAUAGACUAUAAAUAGAUGUUAAUUAACGUAUAUCAGUAACGUAAAUUAUUGGCGACGAUGCUUACUGUAUAUCUACAUAAGACGGUAAUGGUGAUCGAUCAGGUGUUACCCUUCGUGGGGUAAGAUGUACGUGGGAUUUAAUGUCUGAUCGAGAUCAGGCUGUAUCUACUUAGAAGCCCAAUUUACACAGUGAGAAAUCAGUGUACGCGUGGAUGGAAGAUUACCUGGGCUUAGGAAUACGACGUGGAUUUUUAUUCGCGGAAUUCUUUACGAGGCAUUAUACAAUUUUCUAACCAGACUGUCCAAGGAUACCCUUACGAGCGUCCCUAUCUCUACGUUGAUUUUAAUUCUCUGUUGUAUUUUUUUUUUUUGG